rnacentral:misc_RNA from 1 species
AAGACUAUAGACCUGCGGAGUACCUGCGGAAGGAUCAUUACCGAGUGCGGGCCCUCUGGGUCCAACCUCCCACCCGUGUUUAUUGUACCUUGUUGCUUCGGCGGGCCCGCCGUUUUGGCCGCCGGGGGGCAUCUGCCCCCGGGCCUGCGCCCGCCGAAGACACCCCCCGAACUCUGUCUGAAGAUUGUAGUCUGAGUGGAAUGAUAAAUCAAUUAAAACUUUUAGCAACGGAUCUCUAGA